AGUGGCGAACGGGUGAGUAAUAUAUCGGAACGUACCCUAGAGUGGGGGAUAACGUAGCGAAAGUUACGCUAAUACCGCAUACGAUCUAAGGAUGAAAGUGGGGGAUCGCAAGACCUCAUGCUCGUGGAGCGGCCGAUAUCUGAUUAGCUAGUUGGUAGGGUAAAAGCCUACCAAGGCAUCGAUCAGUAGCUGGUCUGAGAGGACGACCAGCCACACUGGAACUGAGACACGGUCCAGACUCCUACGGGAGGCAGCAGUGGGGAAUUUUGGACAAUGGGCGAAAGCCUGAUCCAGCAAUGCCGCGUGAGUGAAGAAGGCCUUCGGGUUGUAAAGCUCUUUUGUCAGGGAAGAAACGGUGAGAGCUAAUAUCUCUUGCUAAUGACGGUACCUGAAGAAUAAGCACCGGCUAACUACGUGCCAGCAGCCGCGGUAAUACGUAGGGUGCAAGCGUUAAUCGGAAUUACUGGGCGUAAAGCGUGCGCAGGCGGUUUUGUAAGUCUGAUGUGAAAUCCCCGGGCUCAACCUGGGAAUUGCAUUGGAGACUGCAAGGCUAGAAUCUGGCAGAGGGGGGUAGAAUUCCACGUGUAGCAGUGAAAUGCGUAGAUAUGUGGAGGAACACCGAUGGCGAAGGCAGCCCCCUGGGUCAAGAUUGACGCUCAUGCACGAAAGCGUGGGGAGCAAACAGGAUUAGAUACCCUGGUAGUCCACGCCCUAAACGAUGUCUACUAGUUGU
rnacentral:rRNA from 1 species